rnacentral:misc_RNA from 1 species
CAGGGUGGUUGGUAACUGGUGGUACAAGCGGAAAGGGGGUGAUUCUACGCGAAAAAAGAAGUCGAAAAUAUAGAAUAAAAAUUUUUCGUUUGAGGCUUUGUUUUCGAGAAAAUCGACUUUGAAUUUUCGCUCGGUACGCGUGCACUCUAUCACGUCUCGUUAUAACAGAUCUCACUGUAGAUCGUUGUCUCGAUGGAUAUUAUCGCAGUUUAAGUUUGUUUUUGCCGUAACGGAAAAUUAGGAAUACAUAAUGAAAUAAUAUGAAGUAAUCAUAAAAGUUAUUAUUACAAAAAUUGCUGAAAAUCCUCAAACGAAAAAUUUUUAUUUUAUAUUUUCGACUUCUUUUUUCGCGUAGAAUCGCCCCCUUUCCGCUUGUACCACCAGUUACCAACCACCCUGUAUAUAUAUAUGUAUUGGUAUUUUCGACCAAUCGUGUGGAGACGCGAUCGCGAGGAAGCGCGUCAACAGGAGUCGUAAAUUCCCGUUACGAUUCUAAGAAUCGACACCGCGAAUAGAUCGAUCCCCUAAUUUCCGUUGAGAUAAUAGGGGUGGUUGAGGUGGUAUAACGCUGCGAUUAACAGGGUUAUAAACUAUGUAUUUCCAACAACUUUACACA